rnacentral:rRNA from 1 species
UACGUAGGGUGCAAGCGUUAAUCGGAAUUACUGGGCGUAAAGCGUGCGCAGGCGGUGAUGUAAGACAGUUGUGAAAUCCCCGGGCUCAACCUGGGAACUGCAUCUGUGACUGCAUUGCUGGAGUGCGGCAGAGGGGGAUGGAAUUCCGCGUGUAGCAGUGAAAUGCGUAGAUAUCAGGAGGAACACCGAUGGCGAAGGCAGGUCUCUGGGCUGACACUGACGCUCAUGCACGAAAGGCGUGGGGAGCAAACAGG